GGGGCUGAUUGGCUUUGACAGCGUGUAGAAACGGUAGGUAAGCAUGCAGAGUUUUGGUGUUCAAACUCUAUAAUAGCAAGAGCAUCGAACUAUAACUGGCGAAAAUAACAAUUACGCUCUCGCUGCGUGAGUCUGAAUAGAGUAAGACCGCUUAAUUUGCCUCAAGAGGAGGCAAACGAGACAUCACUCCAUUGCCCUGUUCCGAGACGUUUGGACAAAGUGGUGUAGAAGAAUUCGGAAAUAGGGAAAGAAACGCCUUGAUUCUUUCCUGAAAUUUAGAGGAUAAGGGUAAGAUUGGUUGUCAUGAGCCUGUCAUACCACGAAAACCAAGUCAUUGACUAAGCAUGUAGAAAGCUUAUUGGGUCCACGUUUGGACGAGGGUUCAAUCCCCUCCAGCUCCACUA
rnacentral:tmRNA from 1 species